rnacentral:rRNA from 1 species
AUUGAACGCUGGCGGCAGGCCUAACACAUGCAAGUCGAGCGGUAACACAGGGAGCUUGCUCCUGGGUGACGAGCGGCGGACGGGUGAGUAAUGUCUGGGAAACUGCCUGAUGGAGGGGGAUAACUACUGGAAACGGUAGCUAAUACCGCAUAACGUCGCAAGACCAAAGAGGGGGACCUUCGGGCCUCUUGCCAUCAGAUGUGCCCAGAUGGGAUUAGCUAGUAGGUGGGGUAACGGCUCACCUAGGCGACGAUCCCUAGCUGGUCUGAGAGGAUGACCAGCCACACUGGAACUGAGACACGGUCCAGACUCCUACGGGAGGCAGCAGUGGGGAAUAUUGCACAAUGGGCGCAAGCCUGAUGCAGCCAUGCCGCGUGUAUGAAGAAGGCCUUCGGGUUGUAAAGUACUUUCAGCGGGGAGGAAGGCGUUGAGGUUAAUAACCUCAGCGAUUGACGUUACCCGCAGAAGAAGCACCGGCUAACUCCGUGCCAGCAGCCGCGGUAAUACGGAGGGUGCAAGCGUUAAUCGGAAUUACUGGGCGUAAAGCGCACGCAGGCGGUCUGUCAAGUCGGAUGUGAAAUCCCCGGGCUCAACCUGGGAACUGCAUUCGAAACUGGCAGGCUAGAGUCUUGUAGAGGGAGGUAGGAUUCCAGGUGUAGCGGUGAAAUGCGUAGAGAUCUGGAGGAAUACCGGUGGCGAAGGCGGCCCCCUGGACAAAGACUGACGCUCAGGUGCGAAAGCGUGGGGAGCAAACAGG